rnacentral:rRNA from 1 species
CAAGUCGAACGAGAAAGGGUCCUUCGGGGCCUGAGUAAAGUGGCGCACGGGUGAGUAACACGUGGAUAAUCUGCCCUACAGUUGGGAAUAACCCACCGAAAGGUGUGCUAAUACCGAAUGAUGCUGAUUGGCCUUGGUCAAUCAGCCAAAGAGAGCCUCUUCUUGAAAGCCCUCGCUGUUGGAUGAGUCCGCGUACCAUUAGCUUGUUGGUAGGGUAAUGGCCUACCAAGGCUGUGAUGGUUAGCUGGUCUGAGAGGAUGAUCAGCCACACUGGAACUGAGACACGGUCCAGACUCCUACGGGAGGCAGCAGUGAGGAAUCUUGCGCAAUGGGGGAAACCCUGACGCAGCAACGCCGCGUGAGUGAGGAAGGUCUUCGGAUCGUAAAGCUCUGUCAGUUGGAAAGAAACGCCUAUGUGUUAAUACCAUGUAGGUUUGACGGUACCAACAGAGGAAGCACCGGCUAACUCCGUGCCAGCAGCCGCGG